AUUGAACGCUGGCGGCAGGCCUAACACAUGCAAGUCGAACGAGUGGCGGACGGGUGAGUAAUGUCUGGGAAACUGCCUGAUGGAGGGGGAUAACUACUGGAAACGGUAGCUAAUACCGCAUACCAUCGGAUGUGCCCAGAUGGGGUUAGCUAGUAGGUGGGGUAAAGGCUCACCUAGGCGACGAUCCCUAGCUGGUCUGAGAGGAUGACCAGCGACACAGGAGCUGAGGCACGGUCCAGAGUCCUGCGAGGAGCAGCAGUGGGGAAUAUUGGACAAUGGGCGCAAGCCUGAUGCAGCCAUGCCGCGUGUAUGAAGAAAGCCUUCGGGUUGUAAAGUACUUUCAGCGGGGAAGCGUUACCCGCAGAAGAAGCACCGACUAACUCCGUGCAAGCCGCCGCGGUAAUUC
rnacentral:rRNA from 1 species